rnacentral:rRNA from 1 species
GUGUUGUUGGGUAGGGGAGCGUUCUGUAAGCCGUUGAAGGUGUGUCGUGAGGCAUGCUGGAGGUAUCAGAAGUGCGAAUGCUGACAUAAGUAACGAUAAUGCGGGUGAAAAACCCGCACGCCGGAAGACCAAGGGUUCCUGUCCAACGUUAAUCGGGGCAGGGUGAGUCGACCCCUAAGGCGAGGCCGAAAGGCGUAGUCGAUGGGAAACAGGUUAAUAUUCCUGUACUUGGUGUUACUGCGAAGGGGGGACGGAGAAGGCUAUGUUGGCCGGGCGACGGUUGUCCCGGUUUAAGCGUGUAGGUUUGCAGACCAGGUAAAUCCGGUCUGCUUUAAGACUGAGACGUGAUGACGAGGCACUACGGUGCUGAAGUAACAAAUGCCCUGCUUCCAGGAAAAGCCUCUAAGCAUCAGGUAACAUUGAAUCGUACCCCAAACCGACACAGGUGGUCAGGUAGAGAAUACCAAGGCGCUUGAGAGAACUCGGGUGAAGGAACUAGGCAAAAUGGUGCCGUAACUUCGGGAGAAGGCACGCUGAUAUGUAGGUGAAGCGGUUUACCCGUGGAGCUGAAAUCAGUCGAAGAUACCAGCUGGCUGCAACUGUUUAUUAAAAACACAGCACUGUGCAAACACGAAAGUGGACGUAUACGGUGUGACGCCUGCCCGGUGCCGGAAGGUUAAUUGAUGGGGUUAGCGGCAACGCGAAGCUCUUGAUCGAAGCCCCGGUAAACGGCGGCCGUAACUAUAACGGUCCUAAGGUAGCGAAAUUCCUUGUCGGGUAAGUUCCGACCUGCACGAAUGGCGUAAUGAUGGCCAGGCUGUCUCCACCCGAGACUCAGUGAAAUUGAACUCGCUGUGAAGAUGCAGUGUACCCGCGGCAAGACGGAAAGACCCCGUGAACCUUUACUAUAGCUUGACACUGAACAUUGAGCCUUGAUGUGUAGGAUAGGUGGGAGGCUUUGAAGUGUGGACGCCAGUCUGCAUGGAGCCAACCUUGAAAUACCACCCUUUAAUGUUUGAUGUUCUAACGUAGACCCGUGAUCCGGGUUGCGGACAGUGUCUGGUGGGUAGUUUGACUGGGGCGGUCUCCUCCCAAAGAGUAACGGAGGAGCACGAAGGUUAGCUAAUCCUGGUCGGACAUCAGGAGGUUAGUGCAAUGGCAUAAGCUAGCUUGACUGCGAGCGUGACGGCGCGAGCAGGUGCGAAAGCAGGUCAUAGUGAUCCGGUGGUUCUGAAUGGAAGGGCCAUCGCUCAACGGAUAAAAGGUACUCCGGGGAUAACAGGCUGAUACCGCCCAAGAGUUCAUAUCGACGGCGGUGUUUGGCACCUCGAUGUCGGCUCAUCACAUCCUGGGGCUGAAGUAGGUCCCAAGGGUAUGGCUGUUCGCCAUUUAAAGUGGUACGCGAGCUGGGUUUAGAACGUCGUGAGACAGUUCGGUCCCUAUCUGCCGUGGGCGCUGGAGAAUUGAGGGGGGCUGCUCCUAGUACGAGAGGACCGGAGUGGACGCAUCACUGGUGUUCGGGUUGUCAUGCCAAUGGCAUUGCCCGGUAGCUACAUGCGGAAGAGAUAAGUGCUGAAAGCAUCUAAGCACGAAACUUGCCCCGAGAUGAGUUCUCCCUGACUCUUUAAGAGUCCUGAAGGAACGUUGAAGACGACGACGUUGAUAGGCUGGGUGUGUAAGUGCAGCGAUGCAUUGAGCUAACCAGUACUAAUGAACCGUGAGGCUUAACCUUACAACGCCGAAG